GCUGCGCAGCUUUCACUUUCUUUUCCGCGCCGUUCUUUGCUUUCUUUUCGACCUCGAACGCACCGUCGUGUCUCCCGUCGUCCGUGUCUCCGCUUCGUGCAUCGUAACACGGUUUCGAGGUGCAGUCAUAGUCGUGGUGGUGGUGGUGAUGUUGGUCAGCAUUUGGACCGGAGUUCAUCUCCCGCACGCGGCGACGGCGGCGGUGGCAGUAACGUGGGCAGGGCGCGUGCGUUGGCGUGGACUUCGUGGGCGCGGUUGUUUGGUUUUUUCGAGGGCGGACGCUUCGUGACUCGAUUUCUUCAGACGGAAACCCUGAACGCCAUUAAGAAGUGUCGCUGAUGUUGGAAAGAACAACAGAAGGAGACUUCCGACCUUUUGGGGCCGUAAAC